rnacentral:rRNA from 1 species
AUUGAACGCUGGCGGCAGGCUUAACACAUGCAAGUCGAACGAGUGGCGGACGGGUGAGUAAUGUCUGGGACACUGCCUGAUGGAGGGGGAUAACUACUGGAAACGGUAGCUAAUACAGCAUACCAUCAGAUGUGCCCAGAUGGGAUUAGCUAGUAGGUGGGGUAAUGGCUCACCUAGGCGACGAUCCCUAUCUGGUCUGAGAGGAUGACCAGCCACACUGGAACUGAGACACGGUCCAGACGCCUACGGGAGGCAGCAGGGGGGAAUAGUGCACAAUGGGCGCAAGCCUGAUGCAGCCAUGCCGCGUGUGUGAAGAAGGCCUUCGGGUUGUAAAGUACUUUCAGCGAGGAGGCGUUACUCGCAGAAGAAGCACCGGCUAACUCCGUGCCAGCAGCCGCGGUAAUUC